CCUUAAUUACUUACGCAGUUGUAAAAUAUGGUUUGUAGGUGUCGUCAAGCGUUGUUGUCAUUCUAAUAUAAUUGAGAUGCGAUAUAAAGGGUUGCAGGGAGUUGCGAGGAGCUCAGCGUUCAAGAAGCUAGAUGUCAGAGAUCUGGUAUUGCUUGGUGCGUGUAAGAACAUUAUGUAUACAGUGUUUUCUCGUUAGUGUUUGUAUACAAAGCUGUUUAGUCCUGCUAUGGUAGAAAUAACAGUCAGCAUCCCUGCGCAGUGUGGAUGCCACUUAAGUACCAGGCCUGGGCGAGACAAGUUUCACGGCAAUGCUUGUGGGCGUGGUGUGCAGCUGCUGUUGUAAUUAAAUAGGGGAAGCGACCAGCGUGUGUCCUGGUGUCAGGAGAUCAGACCGGUUUCUCAGGUGUCUGGAGAUCAGACCGAUUACCCCGGGUGUCUGGAUAUUUGACCGGUUUCAUCAACACAGCAGGUAUAUAACCACGCCACUGACGUUUGUAACAUCAGUUUCAUACGAGAACACCAUUCGGACGUUAAGUGACUUCACUGGCGAGCUUAUAUAAGACGUUAAUUUUACGCAUGUGACGUGGCCGUCUUCGAAGCAAAACACGUGAUCGCAGCUUGAGCGCCAGACAGG